UUGUGUGUAUGUCAGUGUUGAUUGUGUGUGUGUGUUUGUGUGUAUGUCAGUAUUGACUGUGUGUUGUUGAUUGUGUGUUUGUGUGUAUGUCAGUGUUGAUUGUGUGUGUGUGUUUGUGUGUAUGUCAGUGUUGAUUGUGUGUGUGUGUUUGUGUGUAUGUCAGUGUUGAUUGUGUGUGGGUGUGUGUGUGUGUUUGUGUGUGUGUUUGUGUGUAUGUCAGUGUUGAUUGUGUGUUGUUGAUUGUGUGUGUGUUUGUGUGUAUGUCAGUAUUGAUUGUGUGUGUGUGUGUGUGUGUGUGUGUGUUUGUGUGUAUGUCAGUAUUGAUUGUGUGUGGG
ensembl:lncRNA